AACAGAUGGAAGAGUGUCAUGGAAGAAAGAUAAAUGUCAGUUUUAAUCUCCCAAUCCGUGAUUUCUCAAAAUGAAUCUGGCAAACUGUUCAACAUCUAUCUUCCAGCGUGCCUGUGAGGAAGAAACUGGAGCAAAAAAGAUGGAAACCCCAGCAAGGACGAUGAGUAAUGAAGAUUGCACCUUUGCAAUUUAUCUUCUCUCUCACAAAAUUAAUGCUGGAAUUCGAGAUUACUGUGGGGCUGUUUAUUAGUGAUGACAACUGUAUGGGCUUGGUUUGGAAAAUGUGUUCUCUCCUGAGUUGUUGAGUCAUGUGAGGCCAUUUGCAGUUCUUUUUUUUUUCCCCCCUAAAAAUGACAAAGAGUGAUAAUUUAAUUUCUGAAGUCUAAUGGCCACACAGCUAUUUUUGCCUAGAUUCCUUUCUUUUUCAAACAAAAUAAGCAAUUCUCCCUAGAUACCCUUUGUUUCAGAUACAAAUCUCAAGAUAUAAUUUCAAAGAAUAUGAUGUGUUGAGAGGAAAAAUGUUAAACAUAGAACAAGAAUUCAAAUUUACAGAAAAUAGUUUAUUCAAAAUACUUAUUAAACAUAUUUUGUGUGAAGUAUCAUGCUAAAAAUGUGGAGGUGGAGGUGACAAAUAUACAACAAAUUUCUGAAUUCAAGGAGUUUUUCAUUCUAUAAGGGAAGCAGACAUGUAAAAAAUAAUGAGGAAACAACUUCCAGAACAGAGUCAGAGCAGCUUUGUUAUAAUGAGUAGCCAUUUAAAGACAAUAUGAUUAUAUAGAGAUAAUAUGUAUUAAUUUGUUUAUAUAGAUAUAUAAACAGCAAAUAAAUAUUUUUGUAAUUAAGCAGUCCCCACUUACAUCUCGAAUCCUAAUCAAGGACACACAAGGGACAGCAAUCAUUCUCAUCAGUAAGCCUCUCCUCCAUAGGCAGCUAUGUAGACCUUGGGCUACAACCAAAGUUUUGCUAGUUUUCAUGCUGAAUGCCAGAAAUGGGUUUUCCUGGUGAAUUUGGUGUACUCUUAGUUAACAUGAUUAGUAGAUGAAUGUUAGAAGGAGUCCUAUAUUGGUAAAAUUAUAGUGUUCUAAAAGAAAUUGAUUGUCAGGUAUACUUAAGAGACACUUCAGACCCACGCAUGAACAGUAUCUAAGAAUCUAGCAGGACCACUAUUUUUUUUUUUUUUUUGAGUCGGAGUCUCUGUUGUUGCCCGGGCUGGAGUGCAAUGGCACAAUAUCGGCUCA
rnacentral:lncRNA from 1 species